ensembl:lncRNA
GGAAGCUCAGGAGUGAGAGGAAGCUCAGGAGUGAGAGGAAGCUCAGGAGUGAGAGGAAGCUCAGGAGUGAGAGGAAGCUCAGGAGUGAGAGGAAGCUCAGGCCGGUAAAUAGAUCUACCAGCUCCUGGCUGGCUGGUGGUUUCAGCAGAUCCUGGCUGACUGGCAGAUCCUGGCUGACUGGCAGAUCCUGGCUGACUGGCAGAUCUGGAAGAGUCUGGUUGACUGGCAGAUCUGGAAGAGUCUGGUUGACCGGCAGAUCUGGAAGAGUCUGGUUGACUGGCAGAUCUGGAAGAGUCAGGUUGACUGGCAGAUCUGGAAGAGUCAGGUUGACUGGCAGAUCUGGAAGAGUCAGGUUGACUGGCAGAUCUGGAAGAGUCAGGUUGACUGGCAGAUCUGGAAGAGUCAGGUUGACUGGCAGAUCUGGAAGAGUCUGGUUGACUGGCAGAUCUGGAAGAGUCUGGUUGACUGGCAGAUCUGGAAGAGUCUGGCUGACUGGCAGAUCUGGAAGAGUCUGGCUGACUGGCAGAUCUGGAAGAGUCUGGCUGACUGGCAGAUCUGGAAGAGUCUGGUUGACUGGCAGAUCUGGAAGAGUCUGGCUGACUGGCAGAUCUGGAAGAG